GUAGGUGAACCUGCGGAAGGAUCAUUAACACGUAUCCACGUUUAUCACCCGAGAAUUAUCUUAGGAUUAAACUUAUUCGAGUAAAGCCUGACGCGACUUCCCCUUUUGAGGACUUUCUUCUUUCUGGGUCAGCCGCUCUUCAAAAGUUCGCUUUUGAGGGCAUGUGGUUCAUGGAAAGAGGAGGGACCUUUGAGGGGGAUGAGUGUUGAGCCGGGCCCCUCACUUAACCGUGUGUGGCGCCAUUGAAUUC
rnacentral:misc_RNA from 1 species